GAGGAGUUGGCUGAGUGGUUAAGGCGAUGGACUGCUAAUCCAUUGUGCUCUGCAGGCAUAGGUUCAAAUCCCAUCCUCAUCA